ACUUGACAUUUAAGUAGGUUAAUGUCCCGUUUCCUUUACUUGUAUCCCUUACAGUCAGAUGAAUGGGAGUAAAGACCUAUCAAUAUCGCCACUUGUUUUAAAGUUAUGUACUUAUGUAAUACACUUAUUAUUUACAAUAAUCCUUAACUUGUAACUAGAUCUUUGUCUCAGAUUAUUCUGAAGCUUUACAUCAGUUACUGGAUAUACAUCUAUAUUGUUCUCAAGUCCUUUUAUUAAAAACAUCCCUCUUCAGGGAAAACCUUUAGUUUAGGAUUG
rnacentral:lncRNA from 1 species